GCCUCGGUAGCGCAGUAGGAAGCGCGUCAGUUUCAUAAUCAACAAUUCAUAUAGAGGAAUCUGAAGGUCUUGAGUUCGAUCCUCACCUGGGGCA
rnacentral:tRNA from 1 species